CUCGGCACCGCUGCGUUCGGCUCCUGCUGCACAUCGCUCAUCUUCCCCGCCACCGGCUGAAGGCUGCUGGACGGCGGACUGAACCUGCGGCUGGUGCUCGGAUCUACCGGAAUGCGCAUCACAACAAUGUCAGCAAAGAUGAGCAGCAGUGCUGCGAGCCCCAUGGCAGCCAGCAGCAGCACCGCAGCCGGACGCGGAUCCGGAAAGGCCACCAGCUUCAUCCCUGAGCUCCAGAGCAUGAUGUUUGCCCUUGGUGACUCUCGAAGACCCCUGCACGAGACCGCCGCCCUGGUGGAAGACAUAGUGCACACCCAGCUCAUCAAUCUCCUCCAUCAGGCCGCUGAAGUGGCCCUCCUGAGAGGGGCCAGGGUCAUUUCACCAGAGGAUAUCAUCUUUCUAAUGAGGAAAGACAAGAAAAAAUUACGGCGGCUCAUCAAGUACAUGCAGUUCAGAGACUACAAAUCCAAAGUCCUAAAAACCAUUGACGAUGAGGACCUGCUGGAUUCAGACAAAUACAGCAGCAGCAGUGCCAACAAGAGGCAGCGUCUGGCGCAGGACUUCCUGGGCUCCAUCGACCAGACGGGGGAAUUCUUGUCUUUGGUGGAGGAAGAGGAGGUGGAUGAAGUCAAGCAGGAACGGCUGGAGAGAAUUGAGAAGAUGACAAGAAACAUGGAUUCCAGUCAGUACAGUGAUUUCUGUGAAAGUCGACAGCUGAGUUUCUCUAAAAAGGCCUCGAAAUUCCGCGAGUGGCUGGAUUGCAGCAGUCUGGAUGUGAAGCCCAAUGCCAUAUCCAUGGAGAUCCUGUCGUAUCUGGCCUACGAGACGGUGGCCCAGGUUGUCGACCUUGCCCUGUUGGUUAAACAAGAUAUGACUCCCAAAACAGGUGAUCCGUUUCAACAUGCCAUAUCAGCAACUUUCAUCCAGUACGGCAACUCCUCGGCUGAGGCUGCAAGCACCAAAAAGGAGACGGACUCUCCAGAAAACACCCCGCCAUCCACUCCCAGUGGCCCUCUGACCGCAGGACACCAGGGAAAGAUGCAUUCCAUGGCCCAGGGCAACGGUGGGCCAAACCAAGAUGGCAGCAUUAAGGUUAAACAGAGGAAAAGAAAGAAGAGUGCGGCGGCCUGUGGCGUGGAGGCUCAGAGCAGUGCCAUCCAACCAGCCCACAUCAGAGAGGCCAUCAGGCGCUACAGCCACAAGAUUGGCCCGCUCUCCCCCUUCUCAAGUGCCUACCGCAGGAACGGGAUGACUUUCCUGGCCUGCUGAGGUGAACGUGAGGGAGGAAGUUUGGAGGGAUACGGCAGAGGUGGGCUGUAGGAGUCGUCUCUGUCAGCGUGUGUCUUCCAUCAUCUGAUCUGUGAUCAGGCUCACAUGUGUCUGUGUGUUUACAGGAAUGUCCCAUCAUCCAUGGUGUUGUAAUACUUUAUUUUUUCAAGUGUAAUAUCUUGCUUUGUAUUCAUUUUUAUUUGGAUUUAGAGGAUUUAAUUUCAUUUUUAGGUUAAAAAUCUUGAAAUAAAAUAUGUUCUGUGAUGUAAA